rnacentral:rRNA from 1 species
UCUCGCGAAUGCACCUAGAUUUAAGUUUGAUCAUGGCUCAGAGUCGAACGCUGUGCGGUAGGCCUAACACAUGCAAGUCGAACGGCAGCACAGAGGAGCUUGCUCCUUGGGUGGCGAGUGGCGGACGGGUGAGGAAUACAUCGGAAUCUACUCUAGUCGUGGGGGAUAACGUAGGGAAACUUACGCUAAUACCGCAUACGACCUACGGGUGAAAGCAGGGGAUCUUCGGACCUUGCGCGAUUGAAUGAGCCGAUGUCGGAUUAGCUAGUUGGCGGGGUAAAGGCCCACCAAGGCGACGAUCCGUAGCUGGUCUGAGAGGAUGAUCAGCCACACUGGAACUGAGACACGGUCCAGACUCCUACGGGAGGCAGCAGUGGGGAAUAUUGGACAAUGGGCGCAAGCCUGAUCCAGCCAUACCGCGUGGGUGAAGAAGGCCUUCGGGUUGUAAAGCCCUUUUGUUGGGAAAGAAAUCCAGCUGGCUAAUACCCGGUUGGGAUGACGGUACCCAAAGAAUAAGCACCGGCUAACUUCGUGCCAGCAGCCGCGGUAAUACGAAGGGUGCAAUGCGUUACUCGGAAUUACUGGGCGUAAAGCGUGC